rnacentral:lncRNA from 1 species
CGUCGACCCAUUUCACGAACCGGGAAGCCCCGACGCUGACCCGACGGUAUCUCCACUGUCCGGCUGUGUCUUGGUGUCGGAUCAGCGGCGUCUUCACCUUGGCGGCACGAAGAUGAACAUGGCCUUGGUUUGGUCAAUUGACGACGGCAGAUGACGAGUUGAGCUCGAAAACUCUUGCUUUAUUGGCGGUUUUGAUGCGUUUUCCGGCAGCUUCGAUCGCCGUUGGCUGCAAGUGAGGUAUGGAGAUUCCUCUUCACUCCAAGCUAUACAUGAUGGUAUACUGAAAGUCAUCUUUUGGUUCCAAUUUAAAGAUUCGGUGUUUUAGGCGGCUUCGGCCGGGUCGAUCAAUACUACAGCGGCUGGGAUAGUCAAGGAUUACUGCCGCCGCUGGAAAGUUGCUGCUGGGAUUUAGGAGGGAUCGGCGACCAACCACUGGCAUCUAUAUGUGGUUUUUAUUCUUGUUUAAUUGGCAGUUGCUUUCUACUUUGACCACAUGGUUUCAAGGUUUAAAGUGGUUUUGAUUCUGUAUGUACCCAAACAAAGAAGUUGAAUGAGAAUAAAUCAGUUUUGAAGCUCUGUUCAUAUAUUUGUGCAGCACUAGUCAGAGAAGAUAUGAAGAAUAUGAACUGUGCAAUUACAUUGACCCUUCCUUUCGAUCUCUUAACCGGGAACAGGCUAAACCUUUCCCCCUACAUUUUCUCUCACUGAACUGACACAUGCUUCUCACGUGGCUGGACCCAAAUAAACCGAGCACUCCAAACUCCGAGCAUGGAAGACG